rnacentral:rRNA from 1 species
AUGGCUCAGAUUGAACGCUGGCGGCAUGCCUUACACAUGCAAGUCGAACGGUAACAGGUCUUCGGACGCUGACGAGUGGCGAACGGGUGAGUAAUACAUCGGAACGUGCCCAGUCGUGGGGGAUAACUACUCGAAAGAGUAGCUAAUACCGCAUACGAUCUGAGGAUGAAAGCGGGGGACCUUCGGGCCUCGCGCGAUUGGAGCGGCCGAUGGCAGAUUAGGUAGUUGGUGGGAUAAAAGCUUACCAAGCCGACGAUCUGUAGCUGGUCUGAGAGGACGACCAGCCACACUGGGACUGAGACACGGCCCAGACUCCUACGGGAGGCAGCAGUGGGGAAUUUUGGACAAUGGGCGAAAGCCUGAUCCAGCAAUGCCGCGUGCAGGAUGAAGGCCUUCGGGUUGUAAACUGCUUUUGUACGGAACGAAAAAGCUUCUCCUAAUACGAGAGGCCCAUGACGGUACCGUAAGAAUAAGCACCGGCUAACUACGUGCCAGCAGCCGCGGUAAUACGUAGGGUGCGAGCGUUAAUCGGAAUUACUGGGCGUAAAGCGUGCGCAGGCGGUUAUGUAAGACAGAUGUGAAAUCCCCGGGCUCAACCUGGGAACUGCAUUUGUGACUGCAUGGCUAGAGUACGGUAGAGGGGGAUGGAAUUCCGCGUGUAGCAGUGAAAUGCGUAGAUAUGCGGAGGAACACCGAUGGCGAAGGCAAUCCCCUGGACCUGUACUGACGCUCUG